rnacentral:rRNA from 1 species
GAUGAACGCUAGCUACGGCUUAACACAUGCAAGUCGAGGGGCAGCAUGUCGGUUGCUUGCAACCGAUGAUGGCGACCGGCGCACGGGUGAGUAACGCGUAUCCAACCUACCCUUGUCCAUCGGAUAACCCGUCGAAAGGCGGCCUAACACGAUAUGCGGUUCUCAGCAGGCAUCUAACGAGAACGAAAUGUGAAGGAGAAGGAUGGGGAUGCGUCUGAUUAGCUUGUUGGCGGGGUAACGGCCCACCAAGGCGACGAUCAGUAGGGGUUCUGAGAGGAAGGUCCCCCACAUUGGAACUGAGACACGGUCCAAACUCCUACGGGAGGCAGCAGUGAGGAAUAUUGGUCAAUGGACGGGAGUCUGAACCAGCCAAGUAGCGUGCAGGACGACGGCCCUAUGGGUUGUAAACUGCUUUUAUAGGGGGAUAAAGUGUGCCACGUGUGGCAUAUUGCAGGUACCCUAUGAAUAAGGACCGGCUAAUUCCGUGCCAGCAGCCGCGGUAAUACGGAAGGUCCGGGCGUUAUCCGGAUUUAUUGGGUUUAAAGGGAGCGUAGGCCGUCUUAUAAGCGUGUUGUGAAAUGUCGUGGCUCAACCUGGGCAUUGCAGCGCGAACUGUGAGACUUGAGUGCGCAGGAAGUAGGCGGAAUUCGUCGUGUAGCGGUGAAAUGCUUAGAUAUGACGAAGAACUCCGAUUGCGAAGGCAGCCUGCUGUAGCGCAACUGACGCUGAAGCUCGAAAGCGUGGGUAUCGAACAGG